GAUGAACGCUGGCGGCGUGCCUAAUACAUGCAAGUCGAGCGAACAGACGAGGAGCUUGCUCCUCUGACGUUAGCGGCGGACGGGUGAGUAACACGUGGAUAACCUACCUAUAAGACUGGGAUAACUUCGGGAAACCGGAGCUAAUACCGGAUAAUAUAUUGAACCGCAUGGUUCAAUAGUGAAAGACGGUUUUGCUGUCACUUAUAGAUGGAUCCGCGCCGCAUUAGCUAGUUGGUAAGGUAACGGCUUACCAAGGCAACGAUGCGUAGCCGACCUGAGAGGGUGAUCGGCCACCCUGGAACUGGGACACGGUCCAGACUCCUACGGGAGGCAGCAGUAGGGAAUCUUCCGCAAAGGGCGAAAGCCUGACGGAGCAACGCCGCGUGAGUGAUGAAGGUCUUCGGAUCGUAAAACUCUGUUAUUAGGGAAGAACAAAUGUGUAAGUAACUAUGCCCGUCUUGACGGUACCUAAUCAGAAAGCCACGGCUAACUACGUG
rnacentral:rRNA from 1 species